rnacentral:rRNA from 1 species
AAACCAACAGGGAUUGCCUCAGUAACGGCGAGUGAAGCGGCAAAAGCUCAAAUUUGAAACCGUUCGCGGGUUGUAAUUUGAAGAUUGUGUUUUGGCGGUGCCCACGCCUAUGUUCCUUGGAACAGGACGUCACAGAGGGUGAGAAUCCCGUGCGGCGUGGCCUCCACCGCCCUAUAAAACACUCUCGACGAGUCGAGUUGUUUGGGAAUGCAGCUCCAAGUGGGUGGUAAAUUCCAUCUAAAGCUAAAUACUGGCGAGAGACCGAUAGCGAACAAGUACCGUGAGGGAAAGAUGAAAAGCACUUUGAAAAGAGAGUGAAACAGUACGUGAAAUUGUUGAAAGGGAAGGGCAUGCCGUCAGAUUGUCAGUAUCGAUUAGAAAAGGGGGACAAGCGGCGCGAAACGUGGCCUUCGGGUGUUAUAUUCGCGCUACAUACCCCUUUGCUGAUCGAGGACUGCUUUCAGGAUACUGACGUAAUGACGGCACGC